AGGAAUAUUGGUCAAUGGGCGAGAGCCUGAACCAGCCAAGUAGCGUGAAGGAUGAAGGUCCUACGGAUUGUAAACUUCUUUUAUACGGGAAUAAAGUAUCCUACGUGUAGGAUUUUGUAUGUACCGUAUGAAUAAGCAUCGGCUAACUCCGUGCCAGCAGCCGCGGUAAUACGGAGGAUGCGAGCGUUAUCCGGAUUUAUUGGGUUUAAAGGGAGCGCAGACGGGAGAUUAAGUCAGUUGUGAAAGUUUGCGGCUCAACCGUAAAAUUGCAGUUGAUACUGGUUUCCUUGAGUGCAGUUGAGGCAGGCGGAAUUCGUGGUGUAGCGGUGAAAUGCUUAGAUAUCACGAAGAACCCCGAUUGCGAAGGCAGCUUGCUAAACUGUAACUGACGUUCAUGCUCGAAAGUGUGGGUAUCAAACAGGAUUAGAUACCCUGGUAGUCCACACGGUAAACGAUGGAUACUCGCUGUUGGCGAUAUACUGUCAGCGGCCAAGCGAAAGCAUUAAGUAUCCCACCUGGGGAGUACGCCGGCAACGGUGAAACUCAAAGGAAUUGACGGGGGCCCGCACAAGCGGAGGAACAUGUGGUUUAAUUCGAUGAUACGCGAGGAACCUUACCCGGGCUUGAAUUGCAGGAGAACGAUCCAGAGAUGGUGAGGCCCUUCGGGGCUCCUGUGAAGGUGCUGCAUGGUUGUCGUCAGCUCGUGCCGUGAGGUGUCGGCUUAAGUGCCAUAACGAGCGCAACCCUCGUGGUCAGUUACUAACAGGUUAAGCUGAGGACUCUGGCCAGACUGCCAUCGUAAGAUGUGAGGAAGGUGGGGAUGACGUCAAAUCAGCACGGCCCUUACGUCCGGGGCUACACACGUGUUACAAUGGGAGGUACAGAAGGCAGCUACCCGGCGACGGGAUGCCAAUCCCCAAAACCUCUCUCAGUUCGGACUGGAGUCUGCAACCCGACUCCACGAAGCUGGAUUCGCUAGUAAUCGCGCAUCAGCCACGGCGCGGUGAAUACGUUCCCG
rnacentral:rRNA from 1 species